CCUCAAGGGGCUGUGAUGCACAAAGACUGAGUUUCUGAAGCUCCUGCUACUCUGUCAAUUGUACACAAGGACAAAGAAACAGUAUGGCAGCUGACCUAUGCCUCAUCACCUGCACACAGAACCUCAAAGUUGAGCAACAGAUGGCCAGUAGCUCUCAGUCAACAGGAUUCAGAGGCAAGAGAGCAGCCUCACUGUUAAGUAACAGCAGCUGCUUUACGAAGAGACUGUAUUUCAACUUGAGGGGGAAUGACACAUGCCUAG
rnacentral:lncRNA from 1 species